AAUCAACGCUGGCGGCGUGCCUCAGACAUGCAAGUCGAACGAUUAAACUUUCCUUCGGGAAAGAUAUAAAGUGGCGCACGGGUGAGUAACACGUAGGUAAUGUACCUUUGGGUGGGGAAUAACCAUCGGAAACGAUGGCUAAUACCGCAUAAUGCAGCGGCAUCGCAAGAUGACAGUUGUUAAAGAUUUAUCGCCUAAAGAGCAGCCUGCGGCAGAUUAGGUAGNGGUAAGGUAAUGGCUUACCAAGCCUGCGAUCUGUAACCGACCUGAGAGGGUGGUCGGUCACACUGACACUGAAUAACGGGUCAGACUCCUACGGGAGGCAGCAGUCGGGAAUUUUGGGCAAUGGGCGAAAGCCUGACCCAGCAACGCCGCGUGAAGGACGAAGUCUUUCGGG
rnacentral:rRNA from 1 species